GACGAACGCUGGCGGCGUGCUUAACACAUGCAAGUCGAACGGUAAGGCCUUUCGGGGUACACGAGUGGCGAACGGGUGAGUAACACGUGGGUGAUCUGCCCUGCACUUCGGGAUAAGCUUGGGAAACUGGGUCUAAUACCGGAUAGGACCACGGUCUGCAUGGAUUGUGGUGGAAAGCUUUUGCGGUGUGGGAUGGGCCCGCGGCCUAUCAGCUUGUUGGUGGGGUGAUGGCCUACCAAGGCGACGACGGGUAGCCGGCCUGAGAGGGUGUCCGGCCACACUGGGACUGAGAUACGGCCCAGACUCCUACGGGAGGCAGCAGUGGGGAAUAUUGCGCAAUGGGCGAAAGCCUGACGCAGCCAUACCGCGUGUGUGAAGAAGGCCUUCGGGUUGUAAAGGCACUUUCAGUGGGGAGGAAAGGACUGGUGGCGUAAUAU
rnacentral:rRNA from 1 species